AUAUAGCAAACAAAAAAAUCAUAUUUGUAUGCUAUAGCAAAGUUUGCAUAAUUGUGCUCCAUAGCAAACAUAUAUAUGUAUAAUUCGCUAUACAUAUAUACAAAAAGAAGCAAUUGUAUAAUUCGUUGGCUCCUCUUCAAAAUUGUAUAAUUUCGCUGGCAGGUCAUUUGUAUAAAUUGUUGUUAGUCUCUCGUUUGUAUAAAUCGUUGACAAACAUAAAUUAUACAUUAUACAAGCAUAAAACUGGGCAGGGGAAUAUUUUUAUUGUAUAAUUAUAAGUGUAUAGGACGAAUAU
rnacentral:lncRNA from 1 species